GUAGGUGGCAAGCGUUGUCCGGAUUUAUUGGGUUUAAAGGGUGCGUAGGCGGUCAAUUAAGUCAGUGGUGAAAUACGGCAGCUCAACUGUCGAGGUGCCAUUGAUACUGGUUGACUUGAGUACUGAUGAGGUAGGCGGAAUGGACGGUGUAGCGGUGAAAUGCUUAGAGAUCGUCCAGAACACCGAUAGCGAAGGCAGCUUACUAAGGAGUAACUGACGCUGAGGCACGAAAGUGUGGGGAUCAAACAGGAUUAGAUACCCUGGUAGUCCACACUGUAAACGAUGAUUACUCGAUGUUGGCGAUACACAGCCAGCGUCUUAGCAAAAGCGAUAAGUAAUCCACCUGGGGAGUACGCCGGCAACGGUG
rnacentral:rRNA from 1 species